rnacentral:ncRNA from 1 species
ACUCGGGCACGAUCCGGGCUCCGGUGGCUCUCGCGUUUCACGGCGAAUCAUACGUCGUCAAGCAAAGGUCCGCCCAUGCCGCCCGGAAGCGACCCGUAGUUCAAUCCUGAGGGA